rnacentral:rRNA from 1 species
CCAAUAGCGUAUAUUAAAGUUGUUGCAGUUAAAAAGCUCGUAGUUGAACUUCGGGGUUUACUCAUUGGUCAGGCUUAAUUGUCUGUACUGGUGAGAUGAAUCUCUACCUUCUGAGGAACUUUCAUGCCAUUUAUUUGGUGUGGUUGGAAAUCAGGACUGUUACUUUGAAAAAAUUAGAGUGUUUAAAGCAGGCUAACGUCUGAAUACAUUAGCAUGGAAUAAUGAAAUAGGACGGAUUGAUUCUAUUUCGUUGGUUUCUAGGUUCACCGUAAUGAUUAAUAGGGUUAGUUGGGGGCAUGAGUAUUCAAUUGUCAGAGGUGAAAUUCUUGAAUUUAUUGAAGACUAACUACUGCGAAAGCAUUUGCCAAGGAUGUUUUCAUUAAUCAAGAACGAAAGUUAGGGGAUCGAAGACGAUCAGAUACCGUCGUAGUCUUAACCAUAAACUAUGCCGACUAGGGAUCGGACGCAGUUAAUUUUAUAAUGACGUGUUCGGCACCUUACG